rnacentral:tRNA from 1 species
GAGGCCCUAGUAAAUUAAUUACAUAGUUCUGUCAGCACUAAAUUAUGGGUGCAACCUUAACCCAUGGACCUCA